UUCCUUCCUUCCUUCCUUCCUUCCUUCCUUCCUUCCUUCCUUCCUUCCUUCCUUCCUUCCUUCCUUUCUUCCUUCCUUUCUUCCUUCCUUCCUUCCUUCCUUCCUUCCUUCCUUUGUGGAAUUUAUUCACCAAUUUCUUUCCUUUCAUAUAAGGAUAAAUCCUGAUUUGGGGAUAUUUGAAAUUGUGCUUAUGGUCCAAGAGAAACUGAAGAAGCUAACACAGAAUCUGGUUAUUGCCCAGCUGAAGAUAUUUGCUAAAGCCCAGGGUUGCUUCCUGCAGGAGCUGGCCGGGCCAGCAACAGACCAGUGCCAAGAAUUGCCAAGAAGCAUGGAAAAUCGGUGAGGCCACUCCCAGGUAUCUGCUGGAGCAUCAAAAAUAGCACGGUAGAAGAAGCAGGAUUUGCUAGGACCCUUGUCUUCCAUCCGGGUCUGAUAAGGAGGUCUGGAGAUUUAAUUUAGAUGGGUGCUCGUAACAUCGUCAGGCUUGCUCUUCAUCAACAUGCUCUUCUUACCUUCUGGCCCAUCCUCCCACUCAGGGCUGAGUUCUUGCAUGGGGAAAUCAUUACCUCCUACCCAUCAAUUUCUGUCUGAUUCUGAUAGUGUAAUAAUAUUUCAUACAGCUAUCCCAUGAUGCAAGCACAUUUUCUCCACUUUGGACAUAUGUGUAAGUUUCCUUUCACUUUGGAGAAUUUGUGCUCUGUGUGUGUAGUGAGGAGAAUAACUCCUAUGUUUUGCCUUUUCUAAAGAAUGUGCUUUUAUAAUAUAUUUUUAAUUGAUUAAGAGGUGGGAGUAAUAAAUGAACAUCUGAUCCAAGUUUUAGCAAAGGACUCUUUAUUGGAGUACAGGCUCUCAAAAGUUAUUCUAGGCAUACUCCCAGAGGCAUUUUUUUUUCUUAAAUCAUGAGACUAGAUGAGGAGACUUGUGAUUCUAACAGAUCCUGGUACUCCUUAGUACUCAAUUAAGAGUUUCCUUCUGAAUGGAAUGACUAGUGGGGUAGAGAGGGUCAUAUUUUAAAAAAGUUGAACCCAAACAUGUUGAAUUUGCAUUUUUAAAGCCUGGCUGUUUGCUUUUCACAUUUUCUCUCUUCCGCAUUGGCUCUGGCAUUGUAAGGGCUGAGCAGCUCUCAGACUGGGUACCUCCAGUCUGAUUUUAUGAGGUGUGGAAUGUUGAACCAGCCGAGUUCUCUGACUGGCUGAACUUUCCAUCCUGCCUUAACAACUCAUGAAAAACCAACUUGAUUUAUGUCAACAGUAACUCCUGCCUUUUUACUUAGCUAAGACUGUUCCCAUGUUUUUUGGUAAAAUGCACAUGUUUAACUAUUGUCUGGCCUCUGAAAGAACCAUCCAAGUGAUUCAUUAACAGACUAAAGAAAUUUGCUAUUUUGAAGAUGUUUUCCCAUUAGCCAAGGUCAGGGGAGGGUGGGGGUAGGGGUGGUUAGUCACCCUUCCUUCUGAAUACAUCCGGUACAAGUUGAAAAUAGGGAGGGUCUAAGCAACAGAUGUAUGGUAUGAGAUUGCAUGGUUAUUUCCAUAAAUUAUUCUCAUGUGGCAGGCACAAGAUCUCAAGAUUAUGUGUCAGGUGCUGGUGUCUAUAACAUUUAUCAAGUACACAGAACUUUUCCAGGGUAAAACAUACAGGGUAAAGAACAUAGAAUGCAAAAUGAGAAUGUUUCAUCUAGACCUUGAGGGUAUAGGUUUGGACCCCAGCUCUUCUGCUUACCUAAUAGCAUGAGCUUGGACUUUUUUUUCCCCUAACUUGGUUUCCUCAUUUGUAAAAUGAAGAGCUUCCCUUUCCCACCAUCUCUGAAAGUUUAUGAUCUGUCUUUAGGGGAAAGAGAACAGGCCUGGGAGUUUAGAAGUCCCAAAGUUCUGGUUAUGGAUCUUGGACCAGUCAUUUAACCUCCUAGGGCCUCAGUGUCCUUGUUUGUCAAGUUGAAGGAGUUUGCUCUUCAUAUAUUCUCUUCCACAGUGCUUCUCUAAGAAAAAUUGUAGAGAGUCUCUAAGGAUCCUCAUAAUUCUAAUGCUUAAACUUUGGCCUUUCCCAGAGAAGAUAUAUAAUAAAUAAUAUCUCCACUCCCUGGGACUUGGAGUAGGGUUGUGAUGGAAGUGCUUUCUUUUUAAACCUUGACUUUCUUUAAGAAUCAGCUCCAGGGGGGCAGCUGGGUGGCUCAGUGGAUUGAGAACCAGACUAUAGAUGGGAGGUCCUAGGUUCAAAUCUGGCCUCAGACACUUCCCAGCUAUGUGACCCUGGGCAAGUCACUUGACCCCUAUUGCCUAGCCCUUACCACUCUUCUGCCUUGGAGCCAAUACACAGUAUUGGUAAGGGUUUAAAAGUAUAAGGUAAGGGUUUAAAAAAAAAAAAGAAUUGGCUCCAAAGGUCUUUCUUGCCUCCCACCCUUAGUUGGUAGAGUCAUUGUUACCUUUGAUUUACUCUGUAUUUAUCUUGUAUCUUCUGAUUUAUACAUGUUGUGUUCCCAUUAGACUGUAAGUUCCUGGAGGAUAGUAGGGCUGCUCUGUUUUGUUUCUUUUUUUAAAUAUCUCCUGCCUUCAGCAAUGUGUCUUGUAUAUGAUAAACAUUUCAUAAAUGCUUGGUGACUGAAAUAUGAGUCGUUAUUUGUAUCCAGUUGAAAUAAAAUAGAAAAUAAACAACCAUUUGCUUCAA